UCCUCUUUAGUAUAAAGAACAUAUUCCUUAUUUCCACUAAGGAGAUCCUGCAUGGAAGAGG
rnacentral:tRNA from 1 species